rnacentral:rRNA from 1 species
GACGAACGCUGGCGGCGUGCUUAACACAUGCAAGUCGAACGGAAAGGCCCCUUUGGGGGUUCUCGAGUGGCGAACGGGUGAGUAACACGUGAGUAACCCGCCCUUGGCUUCGGGAAAACCUUCGGAAACCGGGGUCAAAUCCGGAAAGGAAUCUUUGUUCCAUGGUGGGGGUUGGAAAGCUUCGGGGGUUUGGGAUGGACUUGCGGCUUAUCAGCUUGUUGGGGGGGUAGUGGCUUACCAAGGCUUUGACGGGUAGCCGGCCUGAGAGGGCGACCGGCCACAUUGGGACUGAGAUACGGCCCAGACUCCUACGGGAGGCAGCAGUGGGGAAUAUUGCACAAUGGGCGGAAGCCUGAUGCAGCAACGCCGCGUGCGGGAUGACGGCCUUCGGGUUGUAAACCGCUUUCAGCAGGGGCGAAGCUUGUGGUGACGGUACCUGCAGAAGAAGCACCGGCUAACUACGUG